CUAUGAUUUAAAAGGUAACCAAAUCAUGGCGGAAGGAG
rfam:Staphylococcus sp. CAG:324 genomic scaffold, scf16